UAGACUGAUGCUCGCUGGAUAGAGUACUUAGUUGUUAACUACGCUUUUGCGGGAUCGAGGCCCGCCGGUCUAG
rnacentral:tRNA from 1 species